GCGACGGUGAUAUAUAUGAUAUGAUACGUACAUAUUAUUAUUAUUACACGGCGGUGGCCUACAAAUUCAACUCAUACAAAUCACACCUAUAUGAUACAAACAUACAAACUGAGCCACUGAGCCCUGCAAUUGGUCUAUCUGACCGGACAAUCUCGAGACAAAUGUCCACUCGAGCUUAGGCGUGGCAACCGGAGGUGUUGCCACAUUUUUUUCACCCCCUUCCCUCGGAAAAGUCAGAACAAAUGGAGCAUCGUCUGUCUGGGAGGAGCAUUGUCAUCGCUAUUGUUGUUGUUGUUAGCAGAACAACUCUGCUGAUCCGCUUCCUCAGCUUGUUCCUUGUUCUUCUGCUCCUUCAGCUCUGCAAUCUGAAACCCACCAAAAUUUUAAGCACCUUCUCACUUAAAUUACAUACAUACACCAUCAUGUCCCGGUGCAUUAGACUCUGUGGAUCAAAUACAAUUGUCAAGUGACUUACAAACUCCCACACGUGCAGCUCAAUCCUGCAGUUGGAGAGACAUAUAUAACACAUAGGUCAAGCACCCUCUUCACCUAACAAAUAACAAAGUGGGGACUAGGGUAUUAGAUGACUAUUGGACUCAGGACUCUAUCUCGUGUCUAUGCUUAUCCCAUGUGGGAUUUCUCUUUGUUAUCUAAUUACAUUGUAUUCUUAUCAUACUUCUGUAUAGGGCCACUUGUAGUGUGGUUUGUGAUACAAUGUAGAUGCCACCAGUCCCAAAAGCUUAAGCUCAUGGGAAGUGGAUCAACAGCUUAAGCUCAAAGAAAGCGUACCAACAAUGUAUAUCAAACGUACAUUCUUCAUCGGAAAAUCCGGCAGUUGGUAUCCAAAUAAGUUCAGCUGGGGAUCAUGGAAUCUUCUUAUGUCAUAUAGGAAUGGUGGUUGCACAAAAAUGUAUUAUUAAGGAACUCGAUAUAUGACUUUGGUAGAUUAAGAUAUAUUCCAAUCC